UACGUAGGGUGCAAGCGUUAAUCGGAAUUACUGGGCGUAAAGCGUGCGUAGACGGUUAUGUAAGUCAGAUGUGAAAGCCCCGGGCUCAACCUGGGAAUUGCAUUUGAGACUGCAUAGCUAGGGUGCGGAAGAGGGAAGCGGAAUUUCCGGUGUAGCGGUGAAAUGCGUAGAUAUCGUAAGGAAGACCAGUGGCGAAGGCGGGUCUCUGGACAGUUCCUGACGCUGAGGCACGAAGGUCAGGGGAGCAAACGGG
rnacentral:rRNA from 1 species